GGGCAGGCCCGCACCGCCAGCGCUGCUGGGCCCUGAGGGACGGGCGCGGGGGGCCGCUGACGGAAAGGCGGCCGGACCGCGGUGGCUGUGGAGACCCGAUCGCGCCGCUCUGCUCUUCGGCGCUGGGUGUGGAGGACCACCACUACAAUGUUUUUUUGACUUCUUACCAAACAACAAACGUGAAUUACGGCAAAUCAGUUGAGACUGUUCUUAUACUUGAAAUUGUAUCAUGCUCAUCAGGAAACGAACAACUCUGAAAAGAAUCUCUCAAAGGAUAAGAGAGGGGAAGUUCCUGUGCCAGCAAAGCGUUACCCAGAAAAUUUCCUUAAAAGCAAGAUACUCAUCUCAUCAUUUGCCUUAGAUGCAAGCCCAAAUACAUCAGCUUACUGUACGUACGAAAGAGGUUUGUCUAUUGAUUACUUUCUAGAUUAGAAUCAAGGCCUCCACUUACUUACUGAAAAGCUUAUCGUACUGGAUUAUCAAUCUUUAUUUUAAAAUAAAUGAACCAAAAGUCUUUGCUUGGAGAGAGCUCUUUAUGAAUUGCUGUGAUGGGAGUUCUGCUCUUUAAAGGAAAUAUUAAUUUAGUACAGUAUUUCAAAUCCACAGAAAACUAAAGAUUUCCCCAACAUUUUAGUACCUUAGAACCAUAUCCUUUCUUCAGUUAACAAACAUUUUCUCCAUUAUGUUUUUCUUGAAGGAGUCUCGUGCUGUAUAGGUUUUAAGGUUAGUUCCAAAAGAUUUUUUGCAAACGAAUAAGUGCACAUCAGUUUAAAAAAAAUAAAAUCAAAAAUCAUGGGAGUACACAAAAAGACCAUACAGGCAAAGGCUAAUUCCAGAACAGAACUAAGGAUAUAUCUGAAUGGAGAUUAGAAAAAGCUGCAAU